rnacentral:tRNA from 1 species
GGUGGCUCAGUGGUAGAGUGCUUGCCUUGCAUGCAUGAGGCCCUGGGUUGGACUCCUCAGCACCA